rnacentral:rRNA from 1 species
GUAGGUGGCAAGCGUUAUCCGGAUUUACUGGGUGUAAAGGGCGCGUAGGCGGGGAUGCAAGUCAGAUGUGAAAUCUAUGGGCUUAACCCAUAAACUGCAUUUGAAACUGUAUCUCUUGAGUGCUGGAGAGGUAGAUGGAAUUCCUUGUGUAGCGGUGAAAUGCGUAGAUAUAAGGAAGAACACCAGUGGCGAAGGCGAUCUACUGGACAGUAACUGACGCUGAGGCGCGAAAGCGUGGGGAGCAAACAGGAUUAGAUACCCUGGUAGUCCACGCUGUAAACGAUGAAUACUAGGUGUGGGGGGACUGACCCCCUCCGUGCCGCAGUUAACACAAUAAGUAUUCCACCUGGGGAGU